rnacentral:rRNA from 1 species
AGAUUGAACGCUGGCGGCAUGCCUUACACAUGCAAGUCGAACGGCAGCACGGGAGCAAUCCUGGUGGCGAGUGGCGAACGGGUGAGUAAUAUAUCGGAACGUGCCCAGUCGUGGGGGAUAACGCAGCGAAAGCUGUGCUAAUACCGCAUACGAUCUAUGGAUGAAAGCGGGGGACUCGCAAGAGCCUCGCGCGAUUGGAGCGGCCGAUAUCAGAUUAGCUAGUUGGUGGGGUAAAGGCCCACCAAGGCGACGAUCUGUAGCUGGUCUGAGAGGACGACCAGCCACACUGAACUGAGACACGGUCCAGACUCCU